CUUUUGACUAGCUGCUAUCAACGAAGGACAAACUAUAUUAACUGCUCACUCUAGAAUACAGCUCCCCACUCUGCAGUAUAUCGCUUAUUAGUUGCUUGAGCAGCUGCUUCUCUCCUUGAUCCACUGUUGCAGCUGUGGGACAGGACAAGUGAAAGAGAAACUGUCUUUUUGCCCUGGUAUGGUUGUUCCUCGUCAUUUCUGCCUUUCGAGGAGUGAGCUCCAGGGUCAUGGGUUGCCCUUCGGGAAGCUUUUGUUUCCUGCGUCACAAUAUUUACUUGAAGUUGACAAGUCCAUCUUUUCAGCAGAAGCACUGAAACAUGCACCCAACUCAACCAAGAGAGGGAACUUCAAAUUUGCAUCUCUUGGCUCUUUCUUUCUACUGGCUCUCUGAAGCAUCCCAGCUCCCAGACAUGGCUACUGAGUAUUCCGGUGAAGAAGACAAACUCCUUCCAAUAAUGAAGAUGUGUCACAUAGCUACCUAACAGAGAGAUGUUCUUCAGCGUAAUUGAUACUAUUCCUAGAGCUGAGAGUCUGCAUUUUAGGUUUUGCUGUAUUGUUACUGUGCCUUAGCUCCCUUUAUUAAAGGCUUGCCUCUGCAAUUCAAUGCUUCAGAAAGCACUAUUAGAAGAAAGUAGGAAUUUUGUGAGAGAGUACCAGUCCAGUGCUUUAAUCACAGUAUUGCUUUUCCUUGAAAAAAAAAAUCCCCAAUCUUGAUCAAAUUAAGGCUCACUUCAUUUCUAAAUCUACAGAAACUUUCUCGGUGUGUAAUAUAGACAAUUUUAAAAGAUGUUUUUUCCCUACAACAGAUAUAAAGUAUAUGUGUGCAGUGAAGUUUAUAAUACAUUCACAACCAAAGAAGAUUGGACAGCAUUGCUGAUGUCUCAUAAUCUAGGAUAAUGAGCAUAAAAUUAGGAAAUCAGUGGUCAGUGGAUAAAUACAUGACCUUUCUAUUUUCUUUGCUGCUAGAGUCUUAGGGUUUGGGUCUCACAACAUCAGGCUUUGGCUAGGAAAUCAAUGAGGUUUGCAUAGAUGCAAGUGGGAAGGUUUUGGCCUAGAUUUUUUUUUUUUUGUGUGUGUGUAAAAAAAUUUUUUGGUUGAAACCUUCAGGAUCCAAAAAAACAUAUCCUGUGGGAAAGGAAGCCUCUCUACUUUUGGUCAUGCUUCAAACUUGGACCAGUCUACCACUGAUUAAAAAUCAUUUAUGUCUUCCGAUAUCUGUUGAAAUUUAUAAGAGAAACAUAAUGUCAGCUGAAUUCCAGGUGGAGAAAACUCUGAGCUACACCUUGCAUGUGAGCCACCUUGAGAUCAACCACUGCAAAGCUCAGCACUGCCCACUCUUUCCAGAGCGCAUGAGCCUUCAGGGUUACACUCAGAACAAUGCACACUUGACCUCUUGAUACCCUUACUGGACUUCUGAGAUAUUUCUGGUUUCCAAAACUCUCUUCAUAAACAUAAACUUCACUUUACAUUUUAUAAAAAUACAGGAAAAAACAAAACAAAACAUAUUCUGAGAAACCACAAAGAGAAACCCAGUGAGCAUGAUACCAGAAGAGAAAACAUAUAAUCUCCACAUGAAUAUUGGUCUUGGCAGUGCAAUACAGUAUAACUGAUCUUGUUAAAAUAUCUAAAAUUACUGCUCCUUCAGUAUUAUUACCUGCAGGGGAGGAGAGAGACACAAGAAGUUCUUGGUGUGGUUCAGAAGGACAAACUAUCAAUAAUACCGUAAUGGACAAGGGUAGAACUUUUAAACUGGGGAUCAUGUCUUUUAUCCCUUUACAAGUUAGGAGUGAAGUCCAAGCAAAUCACAAUAUCUGCCUUCAUGCACAAUGGAGGAAAACCAGGCAUUUGCAGAUUGUGGUUCAUCCUGUUCAUUAUAAAUAUGAAUUUAUUGUUAUCUCUCAAGAGAUACUCAAUCUUUUUAGCCUACGUGGCUAAUGCAGCUUGGGUAGCCAGUUUUUAAAUAGGCUAAGUUUGACAAGAUGAAUUCUACCUUGAAUGACUUUGGAGAGUUCACAUUUCGUCAUAUCAGUGGUACUUGGCAAUCAACCUAACUUGAUAAAUUAGGUGCAGUUGUAAAAUAAGCAGUUUAGCACAGCAAAAUGCAUGAUCAUUCAUCCAGGAAUAACAUGUAUAGCCAUAUUUAUAAGAAGAGGGAUUACAUCCUAGAAAGCAGUGAUGCUGAGAUGGAUUUCAUGUUCCUUGGUAGGUAAGGCAGGUGGGUAGACAUAAACUCCUACAGAGGCAAAAACACUUAGAAAUUAAACAUCAGUCUUGGAUGUAUAAACAAAUGAAUACAUUGAAAAACUAGCCAGUAAUACUGUCUCUUAAAAAGGUAUUAAUGAGAUCAUUAUUGUGAUCUGUUUCACUCUUACAUGAAAACAGUAUAAUUUACUUGCUCUUACUUCAAAAAGGAAAUUUAAAAUGAAAACCAAACCAAACCAAACAAACAAACAAAAUAGGGAUGCUUAUAUUACUAAGAAACAAAUAGAAUUAUGUAAGAUUUUUUUUGUUGUUGUUUUGGUUUGUUUUUGUUGUUUUUGUUUGUUUGGUUUUUCCUUUUAAUUUAUCCAGAAUAAAAGAUGACUUCCUCAGGUUCACUGAAAACAAUUAGGAAGAUUAAUCAGUGAGAAAAUACAAAAUGAAACUCAGUAACAGCAUAAUAUUUUUGUCAGGUUAACUAGGCACUGUUUGUUUUAAGCCAGAUUAUUGGAGAUAUAGCAGAUUCCUCAUUGUUGGUUUUCCUUAAGAGAGGGCUGCUAGUGUGACAGAGAUGUUAUGAAACAUACAGAUCAGAUCACAUUAAAAUAGUGACUGUUUUCCAUUUGAAUUUGAAUUUGCAUUCAUCUCGGCAGGACUAAUUUUAAACUGGGACAAAGAUUCUGAAAAACUCUAAUUAAAGGCUUAUUUCAGUCCCAGAUUGCCCAGUCUUGUCACGUGUCUGUGAAAAGUUCUCAAAUUGCAGCAGAAAUAUCAUCAUUGUAGAUUUUCACUGUUUCUGAAGUGUGCUACAAUGCCAUGGCAUUCAGAAAUCCUGUCGUUCAGCUGAACAGAAAGCAGGUGCCAAACAGCAUUCCUCCUAUUCCUGCUCUGCACCACCAUCUAGACUUCUGUCUGGAAAAGGGUGCACAUCUGGAGGAAGUGUCUUUUCCUGGAGGAUUAAAAUAUCUUGUUUUAACAUUUUAAAAAAAAUUAAAAAUCCAUGUAUGUAUUGUAUAUACACACACAUAUAUAUAUACGUGUGCGUGUGUGUCUGUGCAUGUUUCUUGUAACAAACAGAAAACAGUAUGCGUUACUUUCCAUCCUUGCAUAUUCUGCAAUUAACUGAAGUAAUGGCGCUGUGAGGCAUAUAUUGUUUCACCACUGUAAUCUACCCACUGUGUCUCAGGAUAAAGAUUUAAAAACAGAGAAAGGAAACAAGCAUUUACUUCAAUUCCUCAGCUCCUUUCUUAGCCAACUUUUCUGAGAUCCUUUUCAACAAGAUAUCUUUAUUAAGUUUCUCCUUUUGUAAAUCUAUGCAGGCAUUGAACAUCUGAACUCAUUUACUAAUCAUACAAUAAUAUUUUGUACAGUGUUUCUUAAUAAUUCCUUAAAGUUUAAAAAAGAUCAUUAGAUUUUUAUUUUUUUUCUUUUCUGAUGAAGUCCAUCACCUAAAUAAAAUACUAUCACCUAGAUAAAACACAAAUCUGCUCCAACUAAGUAAGAGCGGAGUAAAGAGAAGAAAUUUAGAGGAACUCAGAGGAAAUGUAAAUACUGAAUUAACUUGCAAGAGAAGAAAAAGAAAGGACAAAAAAAAAAAAAAAAAAAAAAAAAA